UGCGAGGAGCCGUGCCUUCCACCUUUCUAGCCCCGGCAGGACGCGGGUGGCCGCCGCGGGCCCGGGGCGGGGACAGCACGCAGCCUCGCCGCGCGCACCUCCGCCCGGCAGCGGCCCCGACACCCGGGGCAAGCGGGAAAGCGGCGGCGGCGGCGGCGGCGGGGGAAGGAUGCAGGGGAAGAAGCCGGGCGGCUCGUCGGGCGGCGGCCGGAGCGGCGAGCUGCAGGGGGACGAGGCGCAGAGAAACAAGAAGAAGAAAAAGAAGGUGUCCUGCUUCUCCAACAUCAAGAUCUUCCUCGUGUCCGAGUGCGCCCUGAUGCUGGCGCAGGGCACGGUGGGCGCCUACCUGGUGAGCGUCCUUACCACCCUGGAGCGGAGGUUCAACCUCCAGAGCGCCGACGUGGGCGUGAUCGCCAGCAGCUUCGAGAUCGGGAACCUGGCGCUCAUCCUCUUCGUGAGCUACUUCGGGGCGCGCGGGCACAGGCCACGCCUCAUCGGCUGCGGAGGCAUCGUCAUGGCCCUGGGCGCGUUGCUGUCGGCGCUGCCUGAGUUCCUGACCCACCAGUACAAGUACGAGGCGGGCGAGAUCCGCUGGGGUGCCGAGGGCCGCGAUGUCUGCGCCGCCAACGGCUCUGGCGGGGACCAGGGGCCCGACCCGGACCUCAUCUGCCGCAGCCGGACCGCCACCAACAUGAUGUACUUGCUGCUUAUUGGGGCCCAGGUGCUCCUGGGCAUCGGUGCUACCCCCGUGCAGCCCCUGGGCGUCUCCUACAUCGACGACCACGUGCGGAGGAAGGACUCCUCGCUCUACAUAGGAAUCCUGUUCACGAUGCUGGUGUUUGGACCAGCCUGUGGAUUUAUCCUGGGCUCUUUCUGUACCAAAAUCUAUGUGGAUGCAGUCUUCAUUGACACAAGUAACCUGGACAUCACCCCGGACGACCCCCGCUGGAUCGGAGCCUGGUGGGGUGGGUUUCUGCUCUGCGGUGCCUUACUCUUCUUUUCUUCCGUCUGGAUGUUUGGGUUUCCACAGUCUCUGCCCCCGCACUCAGACUCCGCCCUGGAGAGCGAACAGGCCAUGCUCCCCGAAAGAGAAUACGAGAGACCCAAGCCCAGCAAUGGGGUCCUGAGGCACCCCCUGGAGCCGGACAGCAGUGCCUCCUGCUUCCAGCAGCUGAGAGUGAUCCCGAAGGUCACAAAGCACCUGCUCUCAAACCCUGUGUUUACCUGCAUCAUCCUGGCCGCCUGCAUGGAGAUUGCAGUGGUGGCUGGCUUCGCUGCCUUCUUGGGGAAGUAUCUGGAGCAGCAAUUUAACCUCACCACCUCUUCUGCCAACCAGCUGCUCGGGAUGACUGCGAUCCCAUGUGCCUGUCUGGGCAUCUUCCUGGGCGGUCUCCUGGUGAAGAAACUCAGCCUGUCUGCCCUCGGGGCCAUUCGGAUGGCCAUGCUCGUCAACCUGGUGUCCACCGCUUGUUACGUCUCCUUCCUCUUCCUGGGCUGUGACACGGGCCCUGUGGCUGGGGUUACUGUUCCCUAUGGAAACACCUCAUCACCUGGCUCGGCCCUGGACCCCUACUCGUCCUGCAAUAAAAACUGUGAAUGCCAAACGGAUUCCUUCACUCCAGUGUGUGGAGCAGAUGGCAUCACCUACCUGUCUGCCUGCUUUGCUGGCUGCAACAGCACGAAUCUCACCAGCUGUGCGUGCCUCACGACCGUCCCGCCUGAGAAUGCGACUGUGGUCCCUGGAAAAUGCCCCAGUCCUGGCUGCCAAGAGGCCUUCCUCACCUUCCUGUGUGUGAUGUGUGUCUGCAGCAUGAUUGGGGCAAUGGCUCAGACUCCCUCAGUCAUCAUCCUUAUCAGAACAGUCAGCCCUGAACUCAAAUCCUACGCCCUGGGAGUUCUUUUUCUCCUCCUCCGUUUGUUGGGCUUCAUCCCCCCACCACUCAUCUUCGGGGCCGGCAUCGACUCCACCUGCCUGUUCUGGAGCACAUUCUGUGGGGAGCAAGGCGCCUGCGUCCUCUACGACAACGUGGCCUACAGAUACCUGUACGUCAGCAUCGCCAUUGCGCUCAAGUCCUUUGCCUUCCUCCUCUACACCACCACGUGGCAGUGCCUGAGGAAAAACUAUAAACGAUACAUCAAAAACCACGAGGGCGGGCUGAGCACCAGUGAGUUCUUUGCCUCUACUCUGACCCUAGACAAUCUGGGGAGGGACCCUGUGCCCGCCAACCAGACACAUAGGACAAAAUUUAUCUAUAACCUUGAAGAUCAUGAGUGGUGUGAGAACAUGGAGUCUGUUUUAUAGUGACUGAAGGAGGGUUGAACUCUGUAUUAGUCAUCCAAGGGUCAUUUUUCCUAAAAAAAGAAAAAAAAGAAAAAAGUUUUAAAAAAAAAAACUCAAUACACACAGAGACACACACACACACAUGUACACACAGCACCUUUGUCCUUUUUCUCAAAAUCAGAGCCAGACAGGAUUCAAAGUAAGGAGAGCGUGGGAUCACGUGGUUGACAUGCAACCUCCUGGGGCUCAGAGUCUACUCUUUGAAGGCACCUCAUGGUUUUUUCAGGAUGCCGACAGCUGCAAGCAACAGGCACUGCCAAAUUCAGGGAACAGUGGUGGCCGGCUUGGAGGACGGACCUUUCUGGAUAUAUAUACACAUACAAAACAAAAAUAUAUAUAUAUAUUAAAAAAAAGAAGUCUACUAAAAAACCCAAGUUGACAACAUUUGCCAGGAUAAGCACUAGUGACACACCCCAUGCCACCCUCCCCGCCCACACGGGGGUGGAGGGGCACCCAAGUCGGAGGAGUGGAGGCCCACUUCUCUAACUUUUGCAAUAUGGGUCGCUGUGUGGACGACUCACCCAGUCUACACAUGUGGUUCAAGGCCCCAGAGUUCUCUCAGCGAUGCUAAAGGGUGAUCUGUGCUGGAGACUGUAAUUGACACCUCUCACCAGCUCCAUUUCCAUUUCUCAAGACUGAGGGCCCCAGGGGGAGCCAGACAUGGGGGGGCCAGCACCUCCCCUUCCCCGCAGCACCUCCCAUUGGGGUGCGUCCCCCAGCCCCGCAGAGUGACCUCAGGAAGCAGUGGGCCUCGCCUGGCUAUGACUGACUUCGCUCAGAGCCGGUGAAACCCAACCUAGUCCAAGUCAUUUGCUUACAUUUGCCAAACAUUUUGCCAUUUUUAAGGAAAAAAAUGCAAUGCAUAUGAAUUUCAAACUGUUGUAUGUGUAAUCCUCUGAUACUAUUUUUAACUACUUCUCAAAUCUGUGUUAACCCUUCAGUCACUAACACAGUUCUCUAGGCCGAAUUUAUUACGCUCGUUGCUUUUACUUUUCUCCUUUUUUAAUGCACCAAAAAUAUAAUGUUAUUCAAGGGAUGCAAUUAAUCUAUUGUAAUUUUUUUAUCAUUUUAUCCUCAUUUGGAUAGUCUGUGAAAACAAGAAUAUGCAGUGUGUUAAAAGAAAAAAAAAAAAAAGCUUAAAAAAGAGAGUGUAUAUGCACCCUGCCUUUAAAAGGAUCACAUUUGAGGCAACAGGGGAUAACGUGAUGAAUUGCAAAUUUGCCUUCUCCAUUUAUUCCCCAUGAUUCAGUGAUCACUGUCACGGGAAGCCCUUUCAUAUGCCUGCUUCACAUGCCAAGAGGUGUUCUUUUCAACCUGCAGCGGAGACACGCUCAGCUGUGGGUUGUGUGUAUGGGUGCAGGGCUUCUGGGGAGAGGAGACGGAAAAAAGAACAGUUCCCUAGCACAAGCUUUGAGCAGCAUGUAGUGUCUGGGAUAACAGACCCACAAGCUCCUGGAAGCUACUGCACGUUCACUGCCUGAAAAUGUCUAAUAUCUUCAGGGUCAGUCUUGAACUAAGAGGCCUUUGUCUGUAUGUGUUUUUAAAGUGGCUGAAUCUCAAACAGCUAGAAGCGAACCUACCGUUGUUUGGGGUAAGAAUCACAGGAAAACCUCUUGCAUCCAGCUGACUCGGCCUGGUGAGGCCGUUUGCAGAAGGGGCAGAGCUUAUGAGAGAGAGAGCACGCGCACAUGCACACACAGGGUCCAGUUAACCCACCUUUCAUGCUAUUGCAGUGACCUUGAUCUAGGCCACUCCUGGGCCUGGAAAGACCCCAAGGAUGGGUUGGUUGGUUGGCUUUUUCACCUCAGACAGACACGUAUUUUCAGGUCAUCUAGAAGGCCACAAGAGAAUCAGGAAAGAAAAGAGUGGGGCGGGGGGAGAGGGGCAUUGUGAUGAAUUUUUAACAAACACUGUAAAUGGGGCAGUUUGAGUUACAGCCCCAAACUAGAGAAAAGCCCCACGGAGCAAGGAUGCCCGAAAGAAGCUUGUGUCGCGGUGCGGAGCCACCGUGAUCAGCUGCAUCCCGGGACAGGAUGCUUCUGGAAGAGCUUCCUCCUGUGUUUUGCUUGAGUCUGUCCUUGUUCCUGAAAAUGGGGACGCUCAUCAAUAUGUUAACUAGUUAAAGGUGGGAUUGUUCUCCAACAAUUCAUAAACUGUGUACACUCUGUGGCUCCCGAGGCUGUGAUUCCAUCCUGUAUAGGUGUUGGGUUGGUUUUGUCUUGAAAAUGUAUUGCUAAUAGAUCACUGCCCUCUUGUAUAUGAUCGUGUAGCUCCCCCAAAUCAGUCCACACCCACGGAGGCUGCAGAACCUCGUGUUUCAUGGGGCUAUUUGUGUUUUUGUUUUUGUUUUUUAAAAAAGAUUUUUGAAAACUCUUUGCAUUUGGGCUAUUUUUCCUAAGAUUUUAGGCUGAAUAAGAGGUUAGGAUGACAAAGGAAAACAACUCCAGGGCUCAGUUUUAUCAACAACUGGAUCGAAAUUUAAAGUCCCCUCUUGUAAGAGGGCUCUAACAUGUGGUGUUGUCACCGUUAAAAAUUUGAAUUUCUCUCCCAUACUCCAGAACGGAAAACCUAGUCUAGCUUUAAUUUUCCUUUUGUGCUACAAGGAACCAUUGUACAUACCCUUCCCAAUCCGGCCCCUUGAUUAUUUGCUUGGUUUUGAGCAGGAUUUUGUUUGUUUGUUUGUUUGUUUUUGCGGUACGCGGGCCUCUCACUGUUGUGGCCUCUCCCGUUGCGGAGCACAGGCUCCGGACGCACAGGCUCAGCGGCCAUGGCUCACGGGCCCAGCCGCUCCGCGGCAUGUGGGAUCUUCCCGGACCGGGGCACGAACCCGUGUCCCCUGCAUCGGCAGGCGGACUCUCAACCACUGCGCCACCGGGGAAGCCCUUGAGCAGGAUUUUGAAUGGAAAGAUUUCCUGGGGAGAUCUUCAUUGGACUUAUGGAAAACAAAAAUGUAAGGGACGGAAUAAACCUAGAAAGUGAAUGCUAACGUUCUCUCUCUUCUGCUACAAAGCCCUCCACCACCUUAGUGGAAGGUGCCCAGGGAUGGAUGGAAAGGCUCUCUUUGCUGCAACUUGCGACAGGUUUUUGUAACUCCUACAUAUAGACCAAAAAGGUUUCUACCAGUAAUAUUCCUGCAUAUGAAGUGAACACAUUUUCUAGAGUCUCUGUCUCUGGGGGACGGAGUUUGCUGUCUUCCUCCUGCUGAGGCUGUGCGCUGUCAGGGAAGCCCAGCAGCUUUGCUGCCUUCUUCACGCCUCCACAGAGGAAGGCUGUGAAGCUCCCAGGCACCCCAGGGACACUGCCACUCCAGGAGGCCGCAGCAUGUGGGCUUUCCUCACAGCUAACGAAGGAGCCAGAGAUGCUUCUGCUCACGAGUCCCCUAAGGAGUUUGCUAGCAGCCCUUAACAGGCAAAGUAAUAAGGGGAAACCAAGAGCUUCUAAGGAAUCCUUUGACAGACUUCCUAAUGUCUUCCGAGCAGGAAGGAACGUGCUUCUCCAUAAAAAUCGCUUCUUUCUCCCCACCCUCCAGUGGAAUAGCUUCCCCUAGUGAUGAUUUGUAGAGUUUGGUUAAGUGGUGUCUCUACAUUCAAAUCCCUGAUUCCACUUCCCCAUCUCCAAUAAUAACCUAGAGCAUCCCCUCGCUCGGGCGUGGCAACAUUUCCCAUGCCUUGCACGCAGGCCCAAGGCGACCCACAGAAAUGUUCUGUUCAAGGCGGCCAGCUGGUCCCUGGGAUGAUAGCCACACCACUCCUGAGGAGGUUUCUCAGGAAAAAGAUUCUGCCGUGGUUGCUAAUAGAUUAUCUUCCACACUUCCAAAGCAGGCCAUUCCUGAGGAGCAUGUAAAAUGGAAACAUAUAUAUACUCACAGGGAAACCCUCUGAGGAGAAGCAGCUGUUGGUUCCGCAUGAGCCUACAAGGCUGUUUUUCUUGCUGCCCGCUGUUCAGGUCAUGGGAAGUGUGGUUUCUUCUCCACCCAGUCAAGCCCACCAGGCCUGUGUUCUAAGCCCUGUUUGGGAGUCCUGAAUGUACUCCUGAGCAACGUGAAGCAAUAAAGUUCAACCUGUAGAAAUCAAUGCAGCUGAUUAUACAAUCAAGAGCAGAGGGACAGGACAGGGCACAGAGUACCAAGACAUUGAGACUGAGAAAACCUGUCCCGAGUCACAGUCACCUUCAGAAGACUCCUUUGUGAGAAGCUGAGGGCCUGGCCCUCGUCCUGCACAGAACAGCCCGCCACCGCCCACAGACCUCGCGGGCCUGACUUAGCGUGCUCUGCCCCGCCCGAGAACCCAAGGGUCCCUGUGAGGACUCUCCGGCCAGUAUGUGGUCCUUUGAGGCCCCAAGCACAGGCCUGUGACGAGGACUAAGCAGGUGUCUGUGGCCAGGAGUCCUCCAAACCCUUGGAGUAGGCAUUUUCCUGGAUCACUAAAGAGUAAUAUUGACCAGAUGUGCAAAUUUCCUUCUGCCCAUUCCCUCCUUUGGCUCCUGUGGGGAUGGUCUGCUGACAUGCUUUAGAAAACUCCCUCUUGGGAAUGCUUCUCUGACCGAGGGCUCCAACAGUUCUUCCAAAAGCAGCUGAGUCUGGAUUUUAAUAGGAGGGGGUAAAAAUUACCCUGUUUCAUAGAACAGAGGGGGAAAAAAAGCACAUACUCAAUAGAUUUUGAGUGUGGUAUUCUGUAUUUUUGCAGCUUCUAUUUUCCAGAUGAGCAGUCUAGAAAUAUGUGAUGUAAAGUACAUACUGUACGUUUGCUGAGAAUUAUAUUAAAAGCACUAUUUUAAUUCUU